UACGUAGGGGGCAAGCGUUGUCCGGAAUCAUUGGGCGUAAAGCGCGUGUAGGCGGCCGACUAAGUCCGCUCUGAAAGCCCGGGGCUCAACCCCGGGAGGCGGGUGGAUACUGGUCAGCUCGAGUCCGGAAGAGGAGUGUGGAAUUCCUGGUGUAGCGGUGAAAUGCGCAGAUAUCAGGAGGAACACCAAUGGCGAAGGCAGCACUCUGGGACGGUACUGACGCUGAGACGCGAAAGCGUGGGGAGCAAACAGG
rnacentral:rRNA from 1 species